rnacentral:rRNA from 1 species
UGAGGAAUAUUGGACAAUGGGUGAGAGCCUGAUCCAGCCAUCCCGCGUGAAGGACGACGGCCCUACGGGUUGUAAACUUCUUUUGUAUAGGGAUAAACCUUUCCACGUGUGGAAAGCUGAAGGUACUAUACGAAUAAGCACCGGCUAACUCCGUGCCAGCAGCCGCGGUAAUACGGAGGGUGCAAGCGUUAUCCGGAUUUAUUGGGUUUAAAGGGUCCGUAGGCGGAUCUGUAAGUCAGUGGUGAAAUCUCAUAGCUUAACUAUGAAACUGCCAUUGAUACUGCAGGUCUUGAGUAAAGUAGAAGUGGCUGGAAUAAGUAGUGUAGCGGUGAAAUGCAUAGAUAUUACUUAGAACACCAAUUGCGAAGGCAGGUCACUAUGUUUUAACUGACGCUGAUGGACGAAAGCGUGGGGAGCGAACAGG